CACGACUCUCGGCAACGGAUAUCUCGGCUCUCGCAUCGAUGAAGAACGUAGCGAAAUGCGAUACCUGGUGUGAAUUGCAGAAUCCCGCGAACCAUCGAGUCUUUGAACGCAAGUUGCGCCCGAGGCCAUCCGGCCGAGGGCACGCCUGCCUGGGCGUCACGCCAA
rnacentral:rRNA from 1 species